rnacentral:rRNA from 1 species
GACGAACGCUGGCGGCGUGCCUAAUACAUGCAAGUAGAACGCUGAAGAGAGGAGCUUGCUCUUCUUGGAUGAGUUGCGAACGGGUGAGUAACGCGUAGGUAACCUGCCUGGUAGCGGGGGAUAACUAUUGGAAACGAUAGCUAAUACCGCAUAAAAUGGAUUAUCGCAUGAUAAUCCAUUGAAAGGUGCAAAUGCAUCACUACCAGAUGGACCUGCGUUGUAUUAGCUAGUUGGUGGGGUAACGGCUCACCAAGGCGACGAUACAUAGCCGACCUGAGAGGGUGAUCGGCCACACUGGGACUGAGACACGGCCCAGACUCCUACGGGAGGCAGCAGUAGGGAAUCUUCGGCAAUGGACGGAAGUCUGACCGAGCAACGCCGCGGGAGUGAAGAAGGGUUUCGGAUCGUAAAGCUCUGUUGUAAGAGAAGAACGAGUGUGAGAGUGGAAAGUUCACACUGUGACGGUAUCUUACCAGAAAGGGACGGCUAACUACGUG